CCUACGGGAGGCAGCAGUGGGGAAUAUUGCACAAUGGGCGAAAGCCUGAUGCAGCGACGCCGCGUGAGGGAUGACGGCCUUCGGGUUGUAAACCUCUUUCAGCAGGGAAGAAGCGAAAGUGACGGUACCUGCAGAAGAAGCACCGGCUAACUACGUGCCAGCAGCCGCGGUAAUACGUAGGGUGCGAGCGUUGUCCGGAAUUAUUGGGCGUAAAGAGCUUGUAGGCGGUUUGUCGCGUCUGCUGUGAAAAUCCGGGGCUCAACCCCGGACUUGCAGUGGGUACGGGCAGACUAGAGUGUGGUAGGGGAGACUGGAAUUCCUGGUGUAGCGGUGAAAUGCGCAGAUAUCAGGAGGAACACCGAUGGCGAAGGCAGGUCUCUGGGCCACUACUGACGCUGAGAAGCGAAAGCAUGGGGAGCGAACAGGAUUAGAUACCCUGGUAGUCCAUGCCGUAAACGUUGGGAACUAGGUGUGGGUCUCAUUCCACGAGAUCCGUGCCGCAGCUAACGCAUUAAGUUCCCCGCCUGGGGAGUACGGCCGCAAGGCUAAACUCAAAGGAUUGACGG
rnacentral:rRNA from 1 species